AUUCUACUCCCUCUGUUGCACAAUACAUGCCUUCUAUUUGUCAAAAUAUAUAUGUAUCUAGACAUGUCUUAGUAUAUAGGUACAUCCAUUUUUGGACAAAUGGAAGUCAAGUAUUUUGAAACGGAGGGAGUACAUA
rnacentral:pre_miRNA from 1 species